GGUAGGGUGGCCGAGCGGUCUAAGGCGCUGGUUUUAGGCACCAGUCUCUUCGGAGGCGUGGGUUCGAAUCCCACCCCUACCA
rnacentral:tRNA from 1 species